UACGAGUGCGUCGAGCGUUAUCCGGAAUCAUUGGGCGUAAAGGGUGUGUAGGUGGCGUUGUUAGUCUCCUGUAAAAUUCCUCGGCUCAACCGGGGGCGCGCGGGAGAAACGGCAAUGCUAGAAGAUGGCAGGGGUUACUGGAACUCUAAGUGUAGCGGUGAAAUGCGUUGAUAUUUAGGGGAACACCAAAAGCGAAGGCAGGUAACUGGGCCAUUCUUGACACUGAAACACGAAAGCGUGGGUAGCGAAUGGG
rnacentral:rRNA from 1 species